UACGUAGGGGGCAAGCGUUGUCCGGAUUUAUUGGGCGUAAAGAGCUCGUAGGCGGUUUGUCGCGUCUGCUGUGAAAACUCGGGGCUUAACUCCGGGCCUGCAGUGGGUACGGGCAGACUAGAGUGCGGUAGGGGAGACUGGAAUUCCUGGUGUAGCGGUGAAAUGCGCAGAUAUCAGGAGGAACACCGGUGGCGAAGGCGGGUCUCUGGGCCGUAACUGACGCUGAGGAGCGAAAGCGUGGAGAGCGAACAGG
rnacentral:rRNA from 1 species